rnacentral:rRNA from 1 species
UACGUAGGGUGCAAGCGUUGUCCGGAAUUAUUGGGCGUAAAGAGCUCGUAGGCGGUCUGUCGCGUCGGCUGUGAAAACCCGGAGCUCAACUCCGGGCCUGCAGUCGAUACGGGCAAACUGGAGUGUUGCAGGGGAGACUGGAAUUCCUGGUGUAGCGGUGAAAUGCGCAGAUAUCAGGAAGAACACCCGUGGCGAAGGCGGCUCUCUGGGACGGUACUGACGCUGAGACGCGAAAGCGUGGGGAGCGAACAGG